GAGGGUAUAGCUCAAAUGGUAGAGCGUACGCCUAGCAUGAAUGAGGUCCUGGGUUCAGUUCCCAGUACCUCCA
rfam:Camelus ferus unplaced genomic scaffold scaffold940, whole genome shotgun sequence.